GAGAGAGAGAGAGAGAGAGAGAGAGAGAGAGAGAGAGAGAGAGAUAUAUAUAUAUAUAUAUAUAUAUAUAUAUAUAUAUAUAUAUAUAUAUAUGCAAUUGCCAUUAUAAUUUAUUAUUCACAGACAUUUUAUGUAGUAUAUUAUGAAUCGAGCUAGAAUACUUUUAAAAGUAUCACCCCAUUGGGGCUUUUAAGUUUCUAACCCUUGGAUCUAUUCCUUUCUUACUAAUAGUCAUUGGAUCAAACACUAUUCCACCUGCCACCAUCAUCACAAUCUUACAUUUCUCCAUCCAACGGUUAAAAACUCAAAAAUACUAUUUCAUUACUUUUGAGAGUAUUCUAUCUCAACUCGUAUAGUAUAGUAUCAUCAAAUUAAUUU
rnacentral:lncRNA from 1 species